UGUUCCAGAACUUCCAAGAUCAAUGCUUAGGAAGAUGAAAGCUUCUACUUCCUUUUUCUUGGAACACUUGCUGGUGAAACAGUCUUGCUUGGAACCUGGCUACCAUGCCAAGAGGAAGCCCAGCCCCUUCAUGUUUGAAAGAGGGGAUUGAAUGGAAUUGCUGUGUUUCCGGAAGAACGUGCAUCUUGCAAGAAGCCCUGGAAUCUGCUGCCCGGCACAGAAUGUCGGUCAGGGUUGAACCCCUCUCUCUCCGGCUUUGCUUGGCUUUCCUUUCACCACCUGUUACCUCAUUUCAUUCAGAAUUCCUGUUGGUUUCUGCGCUGGAAUCCCUGAUUUUCCUCAAGUGUGGAAAACACAGCACUGAUGAGAUACCAGUUGCUUUUCAGCGGUAAACUGACAGACUUAGACAGAGUCUUGCUCUGUCGCCCAGGCUGGAGUGCAAUGGUAUGAUCUCGGCUCACUGCAGCCUUGAACUAACUCCUAAGCUCAAGCGAUUCUCCUACCUCAGCCUCCUGAGUAGCUGGGACUACAGGUGUGCACCACUGCACCUGGCUAAUUAAAAAAAAAUGGGCAUUUGAUGUCGGUGCCUGCUUGGGUCUCUUCCAAGCAUACUUUCCUUUCCUUUCUUUCCUGUUCUAAAGCCU
rnacentral:lncRNA from 1 species